rnacentral:rRNA from 1 species
GGGCCCGCACAAGCGGUGGAGUAUGUGGCUUAAUUCGAUGCAACGCGAGGAACCUUACCUGGGCUAAAUCCACAGUGAUGUCUUCUGGAAACAGGAGGUCCCUUAGGGGCACUAUGGAAGGUGCUGCAUGGCUGUCGUCAGCUCGUGCCGUGAGGUGUCAGGUUAAGUCCUAUAACGAGCGCAACCCCUGUUGUUAGUUGCCAGCGAGUCAUGUCGGGAACUCUAACAAGACUGCCGGUGCAAACCGUGAGGAAGGUGGGGAUGACGUCAAAUCAUCACGGCCCUUACGUCCUGGGCUACACACGUGCUACAAUGGUCGGUACAGAGAGCAGCCACUACGCGAGUAGGAGCGAAUCUUCAAAGCCGAUCACAGUUCGGAUCGGAGUCUGCAACUCGACUCCGUG